rnacentral:lncRNA from 1 species
CACACACACGUACGUGUGUUCGAGAAGGAGCCAGGAACUCCUUGAAGGUUCAUAAACCCUAAUCAUGAAGAUCACCAAAUUGAGGGGUUAAUUGUAGCUCAAAUUCAAGAAGGAACAUGGACUAAUGAUCACCUAAGUAUUUCCUACAUCAAAAUUGGAAUCACACGAGCAUGGGCCAAGCACGAAGGCUAACGGGUCAAGAUGAGGCAAGGAAGCGGUUACAAGCACGGAUGCACAAGUUAUGUGCAACUUAAACUAAGUAUGAUAAUUGAGGUCAUAUAGGAAUGAAUGGUAUGAUAUCGAUGAAGUGUUAAACG